CUCCCCGAGGCAUCCCUGGAGCUGGUCGGAGCGGAAAGCAGCCCUUUUAGAAGGAAAACUGGGCAGAAAAGCCUCGGAGAAGAAGUGGUUUAGCCCUUCAGGCUGGGAGGGUUCCAAGGAGGCGAGAGGCUUGAGCCGGGGUGGAUCAAAGAUGCGUGCGGAGCCGGAAAGCAAAGCGAGAAAGUGCUGCUACGUAGAGGAACUCUGAGCACUUCUGCCUCGUGAAAGACGCCAGAAGCCUGUGAUUGUACCCAAGGAGUCCGUUUACACGAAGCCAUAGAGACGGAGUAUUCUGUUUCCUUAUGGGUUCUUGCGACAUAUCCAGUAUAGUUCCCUGUGCUACACAGCAGGCUGCAUGCAGGCUUCUCCAGAAGUCCAGGCACCGCUGCCUCGGCCACUGGGCUGGAAGCGGGGACCACGUGUCUGCCACCACCUUCGGAGCUGAAACUGGCCAGAAUUCACCGCCCUUUGCUGCGUGGGCCUUCUCCUGGAGGUGGCAAGCCUUCAGUAGACUCUAGAGUUCACACGGUUCCAUCAGACAGAUGGGGCCAGUGCCCCUGCUGUCCAGGUGGAGAGACAGACCCCCAGGCACUUCGUGCUCUGCACUCUUCCCAGAAUCGUCCAGAAACACAGCUUUUGGAGAGACGAUGUGAUGGAUGGGAAGGAGUGAGCUGUGUGGGCAGCUGGGAGCAAAGCCUUUAGUAGAGAAAACAGCACGUGUGAAGCCUGAGCGGGGGCAUUCCCAGUUCAGCUGCCUGUCCGUUUUGUAAACGGUGUUGCAUUUUAGGCUUCAAGUUCUACUUACUCAUUGCUGGUAGAGGAAGGUUCGAACUUUUGUACAUUAACCCUUUAUCCUUCAGCCUUGUUAUACUUGCUUAUUUGUUCCCAGAGGGCCUUUUUGGCAUCCCCGGGGGGUGGAGGGGGUUCUAGAAUGAUGUCAUCUGCGGACAGAGACAGAUGUGUUUCUUCCUCCCCCGGCUUUAUACCUUGCACUUCCUUUUCCUGCCUCGUCAUGUGGGCAGGACUUCCAGUACAACGUUGAGUGGGGGUCGUGAGGGGACACACUCUCGUCUCGUUUCUGCCCAUGGUCCCCCUGGAAGAUACUCAUUUCUUCUGUGACCCUCCCUUCCUCGUGGCUUGGCCACUGGACCUGCUCCUGGGCCCCCUGUGGCCCUGACAGGGGCCACAGCACCCUGGGUUUGUAGGUCAGAGGACCUCCCACCACGCCUGUCUUGUGGGCAGCCCUGCCUCGAUGUCCUGCUUAGGGACUUCUGAGCAGCUGCUGGGUGUCCCACCUCCCGCGAACCCAGAUCCUCAGUGGCUGUGCCCAGGUGCCCGUAGGACUUCAGUCCUACCUCUUUCCACCUCAGCCCUGCCUGCCGGCACCUUCACGUGCUCCUGGAUGAAGGUUCCCAUGGCCCAUUGGUGUCCGCUCAGGGGACGUUCUGCAGGUGUCUCUCAGAGGACCUCAUUGUUGGACUAGGUCUUCCCCCGGGACCCCGACAAGCUGCCUGAUCUUCCGGGGAAGAGCCCUCGCUCCUUCCUGUGAAAGGAUUGUUCCCGGCAUAGCUGCAGCGAGCGUCUGCAUGAAGACGCGGCGCUUUGGAAAUGCGGUGUCUGCUUUUCCGUCGUCCCCCGCUUCUCAUCUUCAGAAGAAACCUUAGACGGAGCGUUAUCGAGUUCUUCCCAGAGACAGGCUGCACAAAGCAUCCUCACUGUCUCUCAGAACGACAGUAUCUUUCAGAAUCUCCAGCACAACUUGGGGCCGUGUUUCCUCUCCUAAAUCUCGGCCGCCUGCCUCCGAUCCAGUUCCGCUCUUCAAGCCACUUUACAGCUAAAUCCUCCCCCGUCACCGUAAUAGUUUCUUUACAAAGGCCACGCGCUGACUGUGAUCCUUGACUGACUUACGUCGCGCUUACCGUCUUCCUGUUCUCAGAAUCCUUAUCCCUUUCAAGAGGAUUCUAAAAAUAUCAGCGUAAGCCCCCAGCUAACUUCUAAUCCUCGCUUCCAUUUGUGUUGACAGACGGGCGCUUCAUCGCCCGCCCUUGCCCUUGCUUGAUCAAGCAAUUCCGACCUUCUCCCAAGUUUGAUUAUUGAUGGUCCCGGACGUCACCCCCUAUCAGUGGCAUCGAGUGACCGGGGCCAGGGGAGCAAGAGGCGGCCAGGACGCAGAGGCGCCGGCAAGACACAGGCUCUGCAGAGGGUGGGAGACGAGCCCCGUGACGGUGCCGCGGCUCAGCAGGGGAUCUGCAGCGCUGCCUUGGUCGGGGGUGCGUCGAGAUCCUUCCGAAGGGGCGCACUGGAGACAAGAGCCUUGCCCCCGGUUCUGGAGGUGGCCUCCUCCCCACUCAGGAGUAACACCCCUCCCUGUACCAGGGUGACUCCAAGGGCUGCCAGCUUCGAGGGCCCGGAGCAGGGAGGGCUAGCAGCCCUGCCCCUUGGCCACUCAACCUGGCAGGGCAUCUGGGGUCGGAAAGGACACUGUCUGGAAUUCAGGACUCGCCCCACAGGAGGGUCAGUGCAGACGCCUCGGCUGUGCAGCGAGGCUGGUCGCACCCCUGCCCUCCUUGUCCGCUGUGGCAGAGACAGGGUGGUAGAGACGGGACUUGCCGCCAUGGGACACAGCGCUCCUGUCCUGGGCUGGAUUCUGUCACACUGUGUCCACUCCCACAUGGCCCGGAGAGGCGGGGAUCUCCCCGUGGACGGGCCUCAGGCAGGGCACCGGCUCACACAGUUGGGGAGAAGGACUGGCCCUAGGUGAAGACGCCACUUGUCGGCUCACAGGCCCAGGCUGAUGACUUGGCCAUCUGGUCAGGGGCCUGGAAAGAGAGGUCGGAGGGUCAGACCAAGGUCCGGCAAGAGGCGGAGCUCCUGCUGUGGCUCAGAGAUGAGGAACCCAACUAGUAUCUGUGAGUUCCACCCGCGGCCUCACUCAGUGGGUUAAAGAUCCAGCGUUGCCAUGAGCUGUGGUGUAGGUCACAGAUGAGGCUUGGAUCUGGCACGGCUGUGGGUGUGGUGUAGGUCGGCAGCUGUAGCUCUGAUGCGACCCCUAGAGACUGAGAACUGCCAUGGGCUGUGGGUGCGGCCUUAAAACAAAAACAAAAACAAAAA
rnacentral:lncRNA from 1 species